GUUGCUUUUUUCGAUAGAUUAGGUUUAUCUCUGAAUUUAGCUAAAGUCAUGAAUUCAGUAGGAUCCACUCCCCUCAAUUUUCUCUUACCAUUAUUAUAGUUCUAUAAUUUCCCAUUGCAAUGGAUCUUUGUUUCAAGCUUUUCAGUAACCUUAACUCUGACUCUGGUCUCUAUAUUGAAAUGGUUUGUUGUAAAGUCCUUAGAGUACUAGCCAUUAUAAUGAUUUAUACGGUCAGAUGAUUUUUAAUUUACUCCCUAUAAAUUGUAUUCUGUUCUUUAGUCCAGCCAAUACUUGAAUAUGGUACUAUAAUAUGGGAUUCCUAUACUGCUGAAAAUGCUAGCCAGGUUGAAAAAGUAACGGCGUAGAUUCUUAAGAUUCACCUGCAACUACUUUUUGGGUAUCAAUUGUGCAAAUCACGAUUAUACUCUCGUUGCUAACUUGGUUUAACUUCAUUAGUAGACCGCAUGCGAAUUAUGGGUGUAAACUUCAUGAAACAACUGUUAGUUGGUAGAGUGCAUUCUGCAAUUUUAUACAUUUUAAAUCGCCACAACGUACCUCUCAUUAGUUUACGGCUUUUAUUGUCCCAUUGAUUACCAUUAGUUAUCAAAUGAGCCUUUAAGACGUAUAAUGUCUAAUGCCAAUUUUUACCCCGCCUUUUUUAUUUAAUCACAUAUAAUUUCAUAUUUUAGUAUUCUGCAAUUUGUUUUAUUUGUUAACUGUUUGCUUGUUGUUAUUGCUUUCAUUUUUCUUUAUUUCUCUACAUCUUUGUAUCGUACUUGAAUAAUAUUGUAAAUCAAAUGUAUAUACCUGUUAUUUACUCGUCAUUGUACUAAACGGGCCCAGCUCGUAUAUUUAUAAGAAAAAAUAAAAUAUCAAUCAUAAAUAGUCCAUACAUUUUUAUAUGCAUGCACAAUUAUAGUACAUUACACAGUCAGUCUCAUGUCUGAUAAAAUAAAAUUACUGUACCUAAAGUGUACACUGUACAUAUUAUGUAGCUAGGUA